rnacentral:misc_RNA from 1 species
GAAGAGAUGAAAACGAUGCAAAGAAUCAUCUACAGGCCGGAAGCCACCACCAGCAUAUAUGCAUGCAUGUGUUUUCAGGAUGAAGAUAGAUCGAAAGAGGACGACGAUACGAUGCUCAAGAGCAGCAGCUGGCUGGCAUCGCAUCGGAGCCGGGAGGAAGAUCACAGCGAUACGAUCGGAUGGAUGGAUCGACAUCCAUCUUUGGCUGCGCCGGCAGGCCGCGCGCGCGCGCGGCAUCGCAUCUCAUCCCUGAAUCAGCUCAGCGACGGAAUUGAAUCGACAGGUUCCGACGAUAAGGAUCGACCGAUCGAGAGCACGAUGAGCUGGACAGUGCGCAGAUAUUCAUCGACUUUCAUGGCCGCCGCCGGUGUAGUCGGCCACGGCGGUCUUCACUUUUUCCUGGCGCUUCAGCAUCUAUUCAUCGCCGGCCUUCAAAUUAAGUUUCAGAGUCCGAACUAGCUAGACUGCGCUGAAAACGAUGAUUACAUGUAUGUAAGAUCACAUAUCAUAUAUAUAUAUAUAUACCAGACUGUUUAAAGUAUAUAUAAGACGUUAUUACGAACACUCAAGAAAAUCAUCAU